CGAAAGCCUGACGGAGCAAUACCGCGUGAGGGAGGAAGGCUCUUGGGUUGUAAACCUCUUUUCUCAGGGAAGAAAAAAAUGACGGUACCUGAGGAAUAAGCAUCGGCUAACUCCGUGCCAGCAGCCGCGGUAAUACGGAGGAUGCAAGCGUUAUCCGGAAUGAUUGGGCGUAAAGGGUCCGCAGGUGGCAUUGUAAGUCUGCUGUUAAAGAGAUUGGCUCAACCAAAUAAGAGCAGUGGAAACUACAAAGCUAGAGUGUGGUCGGGGCAGAGGGAAUUCCUGGUGUAGCGGUGAAAUGCGUAGAUAUCAGGAAGAACACCAGUGGCGAAGGCGCUCUGCUAGGCCGAGACUGACACUGAGGGACGAAAGCUAGGGGAGCGAAUGGGAUUAGAUACCCCAGUAGUCCUAGCCGUAAACGAUGGAUACUAGGCGUAGCUCGUAUCGACCCGAGC
rnacentral:rRNA from 1 species